rnacentral:rRNA from 1 species
ACUCCUACGGGAGGCAGCAGUGGGGAAUUUUGGACAAUGGGCGCAAGCCUGAUCUAGCCAUGCCGCGUGAGCGAUGAAGGCCUUAGGGUUGUAAAGCUCUUUCAGUGGGGAAGAUAAUGACUGUACCCACAGAAGAACGCCCCGGCUAACUCCGUGCCAGCAGCCGCGGUAAU